GAGUUUGAUCGUGGCUCAGAUUGAACGCUGGCGGCAUGCCUUACACAUGCAAGUCGAACGGCAGCAUGAUCUAGCUUGCUAGAUUGAUGGCGAGUGGCGAACGGGUGAGCAAUACAUCGGAACGUGCCCUGUAGUGGGGGAUAACUAGUCGAAAGAUUAGCUAAUACCGCAUACGACCUGAGGGUGAAAGUGGGGGACCGCAAGGCCUCAUGCUAUAGGAGCGGCCGAUGUCUGAUUAGCUAGUUGGCGGGGUAAAGGCCCACCAAGGCGACGAUCAGUAGCUGGUCUGAGAGGACGAUCAGCCACACUGGGACUGAGACACGGCCCAGACUCCUACGGGAGGCAGCAGUGGGGAAUUUUGGACAAUGGGCGAAAGCCUGAUCCAGCAAUGCCGCGUGUGUGAAGAAGGCCU
rnacentral:rRNA from 1 species